GUAGGUGGCAAGCGUUGUCCGGAAUUAUUGGGCGUAAAGCGCGCGCAGGCGGUUCUUUAAGUCUGAUGUGAAAGCCCACGGCUCAACCGUGGAGGGUCAUUGGAAACUGGAGAACUUGAGUACAGAAGAGGAAAGCGGAAUUCCACGUGUAGCGGUGAAAUGCGUAGAGAUGUGGAGGAACACCAGUGGCGAAGGCGGCUUUCUGGUCUGUAACUGACGCUGAGGCGCGAAAGCGUGGGGAGCAAACAGGGAUUAGAUACCCUGGUAGUCCACGCCGUAAACGAUGAGUGCUAAGUGUUAGGGGGUUUCCGCCCCCUUAGUGCUGCAGCUAACGCAUUAAGCACUCCGCCUGUGGAGUACGGCCGCAAGGCUG
rnacentral:rRNA from 1 species